AAUCUUCCGCAAUGGACGAAAGUCUGACGGAGCAACGCCGCGUGAGUGAUGAAGGUCUUCGGAUCGUAAAACUCUGUUGUUAGGGAAGAACAAGUAUCGUUCGAAUAGGGCGGUACCUUGACGGUACCUAACCAGAAAGCCACGGCUAACUACGUGCCAGCAGCCGCGGUAAUACGUAGGUGGCAAGCGUUAUCCGGAAUUAUUGGGCGUAAAGCGCGCGCAGGCGGUUUCUUAAGUCUGAUGUGAAAGCCCACGGCUCAACCGUGGAGGGUCAUUGGAAACUGGGAAGCUUGAGUGCAGAAGAGGAGAGUGGAAUUCCAUGUGUAGCGGUGAAAUGCGUAGAUAUUAGGAGGAAUACCAGUGGCGAAGGCGACUUUCUGGACUUUUUCUGACGCUGAGGAACGAAAGCAUGGGGAGCAAACA
rnacentral:rRNA from 1 species